GUAGUUUUCCCAGAUCAGGGUGGGAAAUUAGAAUAGAUAGGCUUUGACAGGCAAGGUGAAGAUUCAUUUUUGGAAUGCCUGCCAUUGUAUCAGUGACAAAACAAUGGAUCUGCACACUGAGUGGAUUACAUCUUUCAUACCAUGAACUCUGUUCACCAGAGAGCUGCUCACAGAAUCAAGUGGGGUUAGGAAUUGCUGGAUAAUAUGAUAACUUCUGAGAUUAACGGCACAGAGAGAUGGGUUUAGUCUUUUCCCACUCCCCAACCCCACCCCCUAAACCCACGCUACCCCAGCUAUCCUAUCAUCCCAUGCGUCUCAUCCCACCUAAUUGGGCAUAAAAUGAGAUAAACAGUAUAUAAGCCUCAUUUUGUCAAGUCAGGAACAAGAGACGGUGACAGUAAAAAGCACCAGUGGCUUCACCUGGAAUAAUUUUAACUCCAUCAAUGCUUCCUACAAUCAAAUAAUUAAAUCAGCCAACUCUCUGGAGAAAUAGUGAAAACAAACUGUUCUGUUCUUAUUCUUAAUUAAACAUUUUCAUCUUAUAAAUUGGAUACAAUUGAAGGUGCACUCGUAGAGAAGGACAAAUUUAGCUUGAAGAUUCCUUAUGACAGAGAGGCACAACACAGCAAGAAAGAAGCGUCUGACCAUACUUGCUUUUUAAUCUGCAAUGCUGGUUACAGCAGAAUUUAUAAUCAGUUGAAGGAGCACUAUCUCAUCGUCUUUAAAAAUAGACUGUUUCCUACUUUGCCUUCUGGUGAAAUACAUUCUGGAUCUGAAAUGAAAGACAUUAUGGAAUAAAUAAAGGAACUGCUGCCCAGUGAGUUAUAGCAGAGAAUAGAGAUCUAGAGAAGAUUUAGAAAAUAUUUUCCUUUUAAGGUUAUGUAAGCUUAAGCUGGGAGCGGUGGCUCAUGCCUGUUUUCCCAGCACUUUGGGAGGCUGAGGUGGAUGGAUCAUGCGGUCAGGAGUUCAAGACCAGCCUGGCCAAGAUGGUGAAACCCUGUUUCUACCAAAACUACAAAAAUUAACCAGGUGGCAGGCACCUAUAAUCCCAGCUACUCGGGAGGCUGAGGCAGGAUAAUCACCUGAACCUGGGCAGCAGAGGUUGCAGUGAGCUGAGAUCAGGCCACUGCACUCCAGCCUGGGCAACAGAAUGAGACUCUGUCUCAAAAAAAAAAAAAAAAUUAUGUAAGCUCAAAUAGCCCUUAAAAUUUAUCUAUGGUAAUAUACUUAGAAAUCCCAAGAAAAUGCAAAAAGGAC
rnacentral:lncRNA from 13 species